rnacentral:rRNA from 1 species
GACGAACGCUGGCGGCGUGCUUAACACAUGCAAGUCGAGCGGAAAGGCCCGUCGGUGUCCUCGCGCGUCGAACGGGUGAGUAACACGUGAGUAACCUGCCCCAGUCUUUGGGAUAACCCGCGGAAACGGGGGCUAAUACCGUAUACGCCACAGAUUCGCUUGGGGGCUGUGUUGAAAGUUUUCUGGUUUGGUUUGGGGUCGCGGCAUAUCAGCUCGUUGGUGGUGUGCUGGAUUACAAAGGCGACGACGGGUAGCCGGCCUGUGAGUGCGACCGGCCACACUGGGACUGAGGCACGGGCCAGACGCCUACGGGAGGAAGGAGUGGGGAAUAGUGGACAAUGCGCGGAAGCCUGAUGCAGCGACGCCGCGUGGGGGAUCACGGCCUUCGGGUUGUAACACACUUUCAGCAGGGAGGAAGCGUAAGUGACGGUACCUGCAGAAGAAGCGCUGCCAACUACGUG